rnacentral:rRNA from 1 species
GUGCCAGCAGCCGCGGUAAUACGUAGGGUGCGAGCGUUGUCCGGAAUUACUGGGCGUAAAGAGCUCGUAGGUGGUUUGUCGCGUCGUCUGUGAAAUCCCGGGGCUUAACUUCGGGCGUGCAGGCGAUACGGGCAUAACUAGAGUGCUGUAGGGGAGACUGGAAUUCCUGGUGUAGCGGUGAAAUGCGCAGAUAUCAGGAGGAACACCGAUGGCGAAGGCAGGUCUCUGGGCAGUUACUGACGCUGAGGAGCGAAAGCAUGGGUAGCGAACAGGAUUAGAUACCCUGGUAGUCCAUGCCGUAAACGGUGGGCGCUAGGUGUGGGGGUUUUAUUUACGAUUCCCGUGCCGUAGCUAACGCAUUAAGCGCCCCGCCUGGGGAGUACGGCCGCAAGGCUAAAACUCAAAGGAAUUGACGGGGGCCCGCACAAGCGGCGGAGCAUGUGGAUUAAUUCGAUGCAACGCGAAGAACCUUACCUGGGCUUGACAUACACCAGAUCGCCGUAGAGAUACGGUUUCCCUUUGUGGUUGGUGUACAGGUGGUGCAUGGUUGUCGUCAGCUCGUGUCGUGAGAUGUUGGGUUAAGUCCCGCAACGAGCGCAACCCUUGUCUUAUGUUGCCAGCAAUUUGGUUGGGGACUCGUGAGAGACUGCCGGGGUUAACUCGGAGGAAGGUGGGGAUGACGUCAAAUCAUCAUGCCCCUUAUGUCCAGGGCUUCACACAUGCUACAAUGGUCGGUACAACGCGUUUGCGAGCCUGUGAGGGUGAGCUAAUCGCUGAAAGCCGGUCGUAGUUCGGAUUGGGGUCUGCAACUCGACCCCAUGAAGUCGGAGUCGCUAGUAAUCGCAGAUCAGCAACGCUGCGGUGAAUACGUUCCCGGGCCUUGUACACACCGCCCGUCACGUCAUGAAAGUUGGUAACACCCGAAGCCAGUGGCCUGUUAAAGGGAGCUGUCGGAGGUGGGAUCGGCGAUUGGGACGAAGUCGUAACAAGGUA